rnacentral:rRNA from 1 species
UACAGAGGGGGCAAGCGUUGUUCGGAAUUACUGGGCGUAAAGGGCGCGUAGGCGGCCUGUUAAGUCGGACGUGAAAUCCCUCGGCUCAACCGGGGAACUGCGUCCGAUACUGGCGGGCUUGAAUUCGGGAGAGGGAUGUGGAAUUCCAGGUGUAGCGGUGAAAUGCGUAGAUAUCUGGAGGAACACCGGUGGCGAAGGCGGCAUCCUGGACCGACAUUGACGCUGAGGCGCGAAAGCUAGGGGAGCAAACGGG